GCUUGCGGCCGAACACAACCCCCCGCAGGUUUUCAUGGGCAACAAGCUACCUGUAUUUCCGGGUGUCAUUGUCCCGACGGUCUACUGUACUAUAACAAGAGCUGCGUUGCGCCUUCCGAGUGCCCGUGUUCCCAACACGGCAGAUACUACAAACCUGAUGAACAAAUCCAACUCCUGGAUACAUGCCAAAUUUGUACUUGUGCAGCAAGUGGUUUAUGGACCUGCGUUAAAUCCAACAACUGUUAUGCCUCCUGCUCUGUGUACGGGCCUGGCAUCUUGACGACCUUUGACCGCCAGGAUUUUUUUCUGUCCUCAGACGAUACAACUUGUCUUUUUACUUUAGUAGCGCACCAA
rnacentral:sRNA from 1 species